rnacentral:rRNA from 1 species
UCAUUAGAUACCCUGGUAGUCCACGCUGUAAACGAUGGAUACUAGGUGUGGGGGGACUGACCCCAGUUGGGAAUACCCGAAGCCUGUGAGCUAACGUAAGAGGCAGCAGUCGAAGGUAGAAUCAAUGAUUGGGGUGAAGUCGUAACAAGGUACC